GACAAACGCUGGCGGCGUGCUUAACACAUGCAAGUCGAACGGAAAGGCUUCUAGCUUGCUAGAAGUACUCGAGUGGCGAACGGGUGAGUAACACGUGAGUGCUCUGCCCUCUACUCUGGGAUAAGCUUGGGAAACUGGGUCUAUUACUGGAUAGGACACCUCUUUAGUGUGGGGUGUGGAAAGUUUUUUCGGUAGGGGAUGAGCUCGCGGCCUAUCAGCUUGUUGGUGAGGUAAUGGCUUACCAAGGCGUCGACGGGUAGCCGGCCUGAGAGGGUGUACGGCCACAUUGGGACUGAGACACGGCCCAGACUCCUACGGGAGGCAGCAGUGGGGAAUAUUGCACAAUGGGCGCAAGCCUGAUGCAGCGACGCCGCGUGGGGGAUGAAGGCCUUCGGGUUGUAAACUCCUUUCAGUUGGGACGAAGCCUUUGGGUGACG
rnacentral:rRNA from 1 species